GAUGAACGCUAGCGGCAGGCCUAAUACAUGCAAGCCGAACGGCAAGUUUGAUAGCAAUACUGGACCUAGAGUGGCGCAAGGGUGCGUAACACGUAUGCAACCUGCCCGCGACAGGAGGAUAGCUCCCCGAAAGGGGAAUUAACCCUCCAUAACACCAUGAGAAGGCAUCUGAUUAUGGUUAAACCGCAAGGGGUCGCGGAUGGGCAUGCGGUUGAUUAGCUAGUUGGCGGGGUAAAGGCCCACCAAGGCGGUGAUCAAUAGGGGUUCUGAGAGGAAGGUCCCCCACACUGGCACUGAGGUACGGGCCAGACUCCUACGGGAGGCAGCAGUAGGGAAUAUUGGACAAUGGUUGCAAGACUGAUCCAGCCAUGCCGCGUGCAGGAAGAAGGCCUUCUGGGUCGUAAACUGCUUUUUCCUGUGGAUAAAAUACCCGGGCGCGGGGAAUUGAAGGUAACAGGGGAAUAAGCCACGGCUAACUACGUG
rnacentral:rRNA from 1 species